UGUCUGUGGUCUUGGAGCCGCCCUUGGUUGUUUGUACUUGGGGCUUACCAGGCUUGCAGAGAGAGCAUCUGUCUGAGGAAGCCGAGGCAUGCCUGUAAGAGUAAUAGCAGAACCAUGUGCAAUAUUCCUCUGACAGUUCUAAUUCUGUUGCCACGGAGAUAAUGACUUAUUCCAUGUCAUUAUCCAUCUACCAACAGUAAGAGUAACUUUGCAGUCUGAUAUUGUUUAGCAAAUACCAAUUUUUGCUGAACACUAAAAACUGCUAUAAAU
ensembl:scaRNA small Cajal body-specific RNA 13